rnacentral:rRNA from 1 species
AGCGGCGGACGGUGAGUAACACGUGGGUAACUGCCUGUAAGACUGGGAUAACUCCGGGAAACCGGAGCUAAUACCGGAUAGUUCCUUGAACCGCAUGGUUCAAGGAUGAAAGACGGUUUCGGCUGUCACUUACAGAUGGACCCGCGGCGCAUAGCUAGUUGGUGAGGUAACGGCUCACCAAGGCGACGAUGCGUAGCCGACCUGAGAGGGUGAUCGGCCACACUGGGACUGAGACACGGCCCAGACUCCUACGGGAGGCAGCAGUAGGGAAUCUUCCGCAAUGGACGAAAGUCUGACGGAGCAACGCCGCGUGAGUGAUGAAGGUUUCGGAUCGUAAAGCUCUGUUGUUAGGGAAGAACAAGUGCAAGAGUAACUGCUUGCACCUUGACGGUACCUAACCAGAAAGCCACGGCUAACUACGUGCCAGCAGCCGCGGUAAUACGUAGGUGGCAGCGUUGUCCGGAAUUAUUGGGCGUAAAGGGCUCGCAGGCGGUUUCUUAAGUCUGAUGUGAAAGCCCCCGGCUCAACCGGGGAGGGUCAUUGGAAACUGGGAAACUUGAGUGCAGAAGAGGAGAGUGGAAUUCCACGUGUAGCGGUGAAAUGCGUAGAGAUGUGGAGGAACACCAGUGGCGAAGGCGACUCUCUGGUCUGUAACUGACGCUGAGGAGCGAAAGCGUGGGGAGCGAACAGGAUUAGAUACCCUGGUAGUCCACGCCGUAAACGAUGAGUGCUAAGUGUUAGGGGGUUUCCGCCCCUUAGUGCUGCAGCUAACGCAUUAAGCACUCCGCCUGGGGAGUACGGUCGCAAGACUGAAACUCAAAGGAAUUGACGGGGGCCCGCACAAGCGGUGGAGCAUGUGGUUUAAUUCGAAGCAACGCGAAGAACCUUACCAGGUCUUGACAUCCUCUGACAACCCUAGAGAUAGGGCUUUCCCUUCGGGGACAGAGUGA